GAAUGCAGAUUGGAGAUUACGCCCACUUCCUGCAGAGAUGAUGAAAUAUGCUAGAGAAGAUACACACUAUCUCUUGUACAUUUAUGAUGUUAUGAGGAUGAAAUUGCUAUCAUUGGAUGCUGGCGAUGGAUCACCUGAAUCUCCUGAUGAUCCUUUAGUAGAGGUGUACAAGCGCAGUUAUGAUAUAUGUAUGCAGAUGUAUGAGAAAGAACUUUUAACUGAUACCUCAUAUCAGCACAUAUAUGGAUUACAGGGAGCUGGGUUCAACGCGCAGCAGCUUGCGGUUGUUGCUGGGUUGCAUGGUUGGAGGGAUGUUAUUGCCCGGGCAGAAGACGAAAGUACUGGCUAUGUUUUGCCAAACAAAACACUUACUGAAAUUGCUAAGCAGAUGCCUCUUACCCCAAGCAAAUUAAAGGGAAUGAUGAAAUCAAAGCAUCCGUAUGUUGAGCGUAAUCUUGGUUCUGUUGUCAGCAUCAUUAGGGCCUCUGUUCAAAAUUCCGCUGCAUAUGAAGCAGCCGCAGAACAGCUGAAGGAAAGGCGUUUAGAAUUACGAGCUGAAGAGACUAUUGUGGCUACUGAGGGUGCUGAAAUGUCACUUGAAAUUACUGAGCCACCUGGUGACACCUCUGACCGUCAUAAUGAAUAUGGUGGUUUAAAAGGUACAUCCUCAGGACAGGUGGAAGUAACUAUUCAGGCAAUUAAGAAACCCAGCCGUGGUCUUGGGAUGUUACUAGGGAGUACAGCAAAGAGGAAGAUGCAGCCUGAUAAAAAAGAGGCGGAAGAGAUCCAAGUGCAGCAGAUCAAGUCUUUGGUGAGCUUUCCUUUCCAUCCAUUUUCAGGUAGUAUUGAGCAGAUACAGCAAGCUGCAACAGUGCCUGCUAAACCAUUGGAAAUUAACCAUAGAGAGGAGGAACCUGUUGCUGCUAAUUGCAAGACAGACGUUAUAACCGUGGAGACUGAUUCAGAUGAUGGGGAAUCAGUGAAAGGUGAGCUAUCAACUGGAGGACAGGAAAACUCCUCUGCCAUGCCUGUAGUUACUUCAAAAUCAGAAGAUGUUAUCUUACUGGAAACUGAUUCAGAUUGUGAAGAAUCAGGCAAAGAUGACUCAGAAGUUACUAACAAUCAGCCUGAGUGUGGGGAAAACAAAAAUGUGCUUUCUGUUGAGAUGGAUGAAGGGGGUGAGAAUAUGCCCCUGUCGAUAAAUAAAAAAAGUAAGGGGAAGCUUGCUGAGAAACCACAAGCACAUGAAGGUGAAUUGAAGGUUGAGGGUUUUGACUAUGAAGCUGCAAGGAAGCAAGUGGUAUUUGGAGAAGAUCCUGGUAAACAACAGGCAGAAAGAGAAGGUGAUGAGUCUCGUAGGAGUAGGAAUGAGAAAGGUAAUAAGAAGGAUUUAUUAUUAGGUCAGCCACCAAAGAUUGAAGAGGCAGCAGAUUUCCAGCAAGGUAGAAGGCGUCAAGCUUUUCCAGCUUCGGGGAAUCGAAGCUAUACUUUCCGUUAGAAAUUGAAAAGCUAAUAUGAACUCGUAAGUAAGGUACGGAAUGAACCAUCUUCAAAGUAAGUACUUCAUUUUGCAUGCUUUUGGCAAAUCUUACCUGUACUCCUGGCUCAAGCAGGAGUGGAAAAUCAUAGUUAGAUGCUUUAUAUGGAAGUGAAAAU
rnacentral:misc_RNA from 1 species